UGUGGCUCUACAAAUCUAGGUGAUGUGAACUGGUUAGACCAUAUGAAAAAUUCCAAACAGUAGGAGAUGUUGGUUAUGUUUUUGCUUGGCCUUGCUCACAUGUAAGUAUGUUUCCAUACAAACAUCGAGUGUGCUCCAAUAUCCACAUUUAAGAUACUUUAGUUAUCAAAAUCUUUGUGGCUUUUAGGUACAAAAAACUAUGCCAACCAUUCAAACAAAGCAUUUGUAUGAUACACUUCUUAUGAUUUAUCAAAGAACAACUUAUCUUGCACUUGCCUAAAACAUUGUUCAUUUUCAUUUUCAGGGUGGUUGAGGAUUUGAAAAGAGAGUGCAUUAAGGGAGCCAGGAGUAAUUGGGUAGUUGAGGAUUUGAAAAGGGAGUGCACUGAAGGAGGCAUGAUUAGUUGAUGAACCAGUCUGUGAAUGAACAAGUAUUGUGGCUUAUGUUAUAUUUUAGCCUAAUUGAGAAUCAUAGUUCUAGACUAUAGGAUAUUUUCUUAUUUAUUUGCAUGUUCUAUAUGAAUACCUGUUAAUAUUCAGUUGUGAAUUUCAGUGUAAGUAUCUGUUCGGGCUGAUUAUUCCAUUCAGCUUGCCUUUUUUAGGGAACUCAGCUUGUCAAUUUUGAUAACGUGAAGUUUGCAAAUGCAAUCUAUGACGUGGAAUCAUGGCUUCAUAUGAUGAU
rnacentral:lncRNA from 1 species